CUACGGGAGGCACCAGUGGGGAAUAUUGCACAAUGGGCGCAAGCCUGAUGCAGCAACGCCGCGUGAACGAUGAAGGCCCUUGGGUCGUAAAGUUCUGUCCUUGGGGAAGAAACAAAUGACGGUACCCAAGAAGAAAGCCCCGGCUAAUUACGUGCCAGUGAGCCGCGGUAAUACGUAAGGGGCGAGCGUUAUCCGGAAUUAUUGGGCUUAAAGAGUAUGUAGGUGGUUUUUUAAGCGCGAGGUUUAAGGCAAUGGCUCAACCAUUGUUUGCCUUGCGAACUGGAAAACUUGAGUGCAGGAGAGGAAAGCGGAAUUCCUAGUGUAGCGGUGAAAUGCGUAGAUAUUAGGAGGAACACCAGUGGCGAAGGCGGCUUUCUGGACUGUAACUGACACUGAGAUACGAAAGCGUGGGGAGCAAACAGGAUUAGAUACCCCAGUAGUC
rnacentral:rRNA from 1 species